GACGAACGCUGGCGGCGGGCUUAACACAUGCAAGUCGAGCGGACAUACUAGGGGUGUCCGCGGCAGACGGGAGAGUAAGGCGUGGGAACGAGCCCUGCGGUCCGGAAUAACUCAGGGAGAAUUGAGCUAAGACCGGAGACGUGCGAGAGCAGAAAGGUUUAGCUGCCGAAGGUGCGGCACGAGUCAGAUUAGCGAGUUGGGGCGGUUAUGGCUCACCAAGGCGACGAUCAGUAGCUGGUCUGAGAGGAUGGUCAGCCACACUGGGACUGGGACACGGCGCGGACUCCUACGCGAAGCAGCAAUGCUGAACGUUGCACCACGGGGGCAGCCCUGAUCCAGUCCUGCCGCUUAAGUUAUGUCAUCCUUAGGGUUGUAAAGCUCUGUUCUUCGGGCCGAUCAUGACGGUACCUUAGGAGAAAGCCCCGGCUAACUUCGUG
rnacentral:rRNA from 1 species